GACGAACGCUGGCGGCGUGCUUAACACAUGCAAGUCGAACGGUGACCUCGGAGCUUGCUCCGGGUGAUCAGUGGCGAACGGGUGAGUAACACGUGAGUAACCUGCCCCUUACUCUGGAUAACUCCGGGAAACCGGUGCUAAUACUGGAUAUGACUCGAGCGUGCAUGCGCAUCGGGUGGAAAGAUUUAUCGGUGAGGGAUGGACUCGCGGCCUAUCAGCUUGUUGGUGGGGUAAUGGCCUACCAAGGCGACGACGGGUAGCCGGCCUGAGAGGGCGACCGGCCACACUGGGACUGAGACACGGCCCAGACUCCUACGGGAGGCAGCAGUGGGGAAUAUUGCACAAUGGGCGAAAGCCUGAUGCAGCGACGCCGCGUGAGGGAUGACGGCCUUCGGGUUGUAAACCUCUUUCAGUAGGGAAGAAGCGAAGGUGACGGUACCUACAAAAGAAGCACCGGCUAACUACGUGCCAGCCGCCGCAGUAA
rnacentral:rRNA from 1 species